rnacentral:tRNA from 1 species
GGGGGUAGAGCUCAGAGGUAGAGCGCGUGCUUAGCAUGCACGAGGUCCUGGGUUCCAUCCCCAGCACCUCCA